AGCUUAUUCUCUUCAACAUUCGUAUUCCUCCUUCUGAAGGAUAUAUGCCUGUCUAAAUGUGGAAAACACAACAUGACAGGUGCAAUUAUGUUGGGAGAUGCAUUGUUCUUCAGAAUGUUCUCUCAUUGUUAGGAGUUGAAGCGGACUUUAUUGUGUUUUCAACAACAUCAAAAUACAGCCAUUCAGAUGAUAUGCAUGCUUUCCCAACAAUCUUUGGCUUUAAAGGAGAGACUCUGAGCUCUAUCCCUGGCGUUUCUUUGUUGGAAAUUGUUACUGAUACUCACCGGAAGCCAAAUGGAUAUCGUAAGGUUUUGAAGGUGAGCGAAUUCAUUUGGAAGAAUUGCGUGAGAAGGUAAUGAUUGUCUAAAAAUUCAUUGAAGUGUCAUUUCAACUUGGAGUCUGUAGCUUAUUGAAUUAUCAGGUCCUAUCGGAAAGAAUGAGGACAACAACCUAUCCUGAUUCUGAGCAAGAAUUGAUACAAUUAUCUUGAUAAUAGGUAACAUUGAUUUUUGAGUCUUUGACCAUGCUUUUGCAGGUCAUUCCUGAAAUUGGUUACCAAUGACUACACAACUAUGUUGACCAAAUUCAAAACUGGGGUUGGAUCUACAACAAUCAUUCUCAAACUUCAAGAUCAUUUACCAGAUAAAUUACGAUCUUUGUUUACAGUUUCAUCACAUAACCAGUCUAUGGAACUUGAUAAAUUGACAUUUACCUGAAAUUCCAUUGCACUAAAUUUUACAACAUGCAUUAAAGUUAAAUCUAACUCUGAGCAUGAAGUUAUAUGUUUUGGUUAAAGCUGGAACUUGAAUCUGAUUCGCAAGCAGCUAACGUCUGUCACACUUUUUGCGUGAACAUUCUCUAAUACUUCUCUCUGUCAUAUUAUG